AUCACCUAGAGAGCUUGUUAAAAUGCAGUUUCUGAUUCAGCAGGUCUGGGGUUAAGCCUGAGAUUGUGCAUUUCUAACAAACUCUCAGGUGAUGCUGU
rnacentral:pre_miRNA from 1 species